UACGUAGGGUCCGAGCGUUGUCCGGAAUUAUUGGGCGUAAAGGGCUCGUAGGCGGUCCGUCACGUCGGGAGUGAAAACUCAGGGCUCAACCCUGAGCGUGCUUCCGAUACGGGCGGACUAGAGGUAUGCAGGGGAGAACGGAAUUCCUGGUGUAGCGGUGGAAUGCGCAGAUAUCAGGAGGAGCACCGGUGGCGAAGGCGGUUCUCUGGGCAUUACCUGACGCUGAGGAGCGAAAGCAUGGGGAGCGAACAGG
rnacentral:rRNA from 1 species